ACUUCCUGAUUUCAUUCUUUGCUCUGAAAUAUUAUUAGAUUUUCAUGCAAUUUUUAUCCCCUAUGAACAGGUGCUGAGUAUGUGAAGAAUUUCUUUGGAUUGGAUUUCUUACUUUGGAAUAUUUUAUUCUCUUCAUGAAAUCUUUUGGAGUAUGGAUUUUUUACAAGGCCUUCUUGAGAUUAUGUUGUCCACACUGCAGCCAAGCAUGAGUCAGUAUCAAUUCCAGUUGGAAAACUCCAAGACUGGAUGCAGAAGUACCAGGCACAGCCAAUGUCUCUGUUGCUGUUAGCCAAAACACAGAUCUAUAUAUAUAUUUUGCCUGAGAAGUACCAGAAUUUGGAUUUGUCUCUGUACAAAACUCUGGAAGGUCCCUCCCUGCUGUGGCCCAAACUGUUCAGCAGUGAAAGGAGCAUCUCUCUUGCUUUGAAAUGUCCCCAGAGAUGGAAAGUCCUGCAACCUGUAACACCUCCAUCAGCCAGGACUGAGGUAGGCAUUGUCUUCCCCUUUUUCUCUAGAAUUCUAGAACAUGACCCUUUGUGUUCG
rnacentral:lncRNA from 1 species